AACUUAGGCCAUGCCACCCCUGGACAUACUCAAUCUUGUCUGAUCUCGAAAGCUAAGCAAGGUCAGCCUGGUUAGUAUUCUAAUUUAAAAAGUUCUAAAGCAACUUUCUCAAUUUC
rnacentral:rRNA from 1 species